rnacentral:rRNA from 1 species
CGCUCUUUGUAUUAGUUAACUAGGGAGUCGUGCCUGCCCGGUGAGUUUUAAACGGCCGCAGUACCCUGACUGUGCUAAGGUAGCAUAAUCAUUUGUCUUUUAAUUGAAGACUGGAAUGAAUGGCUUGACGAAAAUCUGACUGUCUCUUUUAUGUUAUCUAGAAACUAUUUUUUAGGUGAGGAAACCUAAAUUAAAUCAAAAGACGAAAAGACCCUGUCGAGCUUAAAACUUAUUGAAAAUCUUUAUUAGUUUUGGAAAAACUAUUUAUUUAAAAUGUUUUUUGUUGGGGCGACAGAAGAACAUAUAAAGCUUCUUUUUAUUAAAAAAACUUAUUGGUUAUAAAGAUCCAAUUUUAUUGAAAGAAGAAAAGUUACCGCAGGGAUAACAGCGUUAUUUUUUUGGAGAGUUCAAAUUGAAGAAAAAGUUUGCGACCUCGAUGUUGGAUUAGAAAACCGAGUAGGUGAAGAGGCUUAUUUGUGGAGGUCUGUUCGACCUUUAAAUUUCUACA